rnacentral:lncRNA from 1 species
UCGGAAUCCCAAGUCCAAGAGGCCUUCCUCUCCAAAGGGGGCAAUAUAGAGAUGACACCUGGUGUUUCUUCUAGAUGUCUAAAGAGCCAAAGGGGCCUGCACCCAGUUUAGGAGAUGGUUUCCUUGAUAAGAGACCAUCGGCCCUUAUUCCUAGUGCCACUGGAAGGUCCACUUCAAUCUCCUUCCCAGUAACUUCGGAAGGUCGGUCUUACUUCCGAUUCCCCUUGUCUUCAUUUUCUCCUCCCUCCAGGAACGAGGAGGUCCUGAAGCUCUCUAUCCCUAGCUGCUGACUUCCAGCGGAAGGCGUCAUUUUGUAGUUUUCUUUUGGCUCCUCACCCUUCCGGCCCGCCUGCUCGCCAGUACACUGCAGAAGGACCGGUCACUGCUCUACAGUCCCGGCUCCGGUUCUCGUCCCGCCCUGGCCCCAGGUUCCUGAACCCAGCUGGAACGCCCUAAGCCCCUGCUAGGUGAUGACCCAGACCUGUGAGCCCUCACCUGCGGGCCCUGAGCGUCGCUCCCGGCUCCUGGCGAGGCAGACGCUUUCCGCUUCCUGCUAACUGCUUUCCGGGCCAUAGUGGGCAGCGCCGCCGUGGCCCCGCAGCCACAUGAGGCGGAGAAGGCAAGGGGCGGCAGGGCGACGGGUCAUGAACCGGGCCCUGGGGCCGCGCGCUUUCGAGCGCCCGGCCCGGAAAAUGGCUCGGAUCCCGGGCAGCAGUCGAUCAAAAUGAGGCGCGUAAAUGGAAGAAGGGAAAAUCCGGGUUGGGAAAGGGGAAGGGGAAGGGAAGGGGAAGGAAAAGCAGGAACAAGCAGCUUUCCUACCGCCGUGUCUGGAAAGGACGGCGAGCGGCGAGAACCAAAACACCCCCCUCCCACUCGCCCGCGCCCCGUCACUCCUGCGCAGCCGCACAUAGCAGCACGUCGCCACGGAGACACCGCCCAGACCAGCAGGGCGGGACUUAAGCGCAGCAAGGAGAAUUGAUGUCCUCGGAGAACUUCCGCUUGCCUCUUGCCAAUGGCGGUUAAGCUGUGGCCAAAGGAAUCCAGCCUUCUGUCGGGACAUUUCCGACCUCAGCCAGCUCAUCCUCUGGCAUGCGGAAGUAAGCAUGAGCUGCCUGGCUGCGGGACCAAUCUUGAACCUGUAACCAUCAUGGUAGGAUUAAAGAUAUUCUAGACACCCUGAUUGCCAGAUUGCAAUCAGACUAUUAAAACACUGGACUCUAAGAAAUUGCAGUUUUCCUGGGAGAAGGAAAGGACAAGGGCACAGAUGCCAGCCAAUAGAGGAACUUGACUCCAGGAAAGAUAGAUCACAGUUGGGAAAACUUGUCAGACUACCUUCCCAGAGAAACUGGGCGAACAGAUGAUGGAUGCGACCACACCUUGCCGACGACUGCUUACUUAAGCAUAGCUGUUGCCUUUAAGCCUAAACAAACCACACGUCAGCCCCUAAGAUGGACUAGGAUAAGAGAAUGUCCCGUCGUUGUUCUUUCCAAUGAGACCGAGUUAACACCUUUCUUCAAGUUUCCCCUUACACUUUGUCUUUUAGUUGGCCUGUUGAGAAUGAGUUAAGGCUGCUAGGGCCCAGGUUCUGACCCUUCCUUAUACCUCAGAAGACGUUUCUUAAUCCUGUAACUAGUAGCCUCACAUUUAGCACUUUCCCCCAACAUUCUCACAAACUGUCAAUGGGCACAAAAGAUUAGACACUUUAAGGAAGGCAGAGAACCCCACAUCACACUCCUUCAAGAUGGAUUCAGGGUAGGAAGGCAGCAGUAUGGUCAGAUUUUUGCCACAUCAAAGUACCAGAGCUAACGCAGGCUGCCUCACAUGCCUGUUGGCACAGGUCUCCCCACACAUACGGAGUCCCCAGAUUCCAUUCUCCACUUCUUUACUCUCCAGCUCCCUGUCUAUUUUGACUCCUGUCUAAACCUCAAGUCACUUUUCCCCUUCUUUUAUUUAUUCCUUUUCUUUCUUUCCUUUUUUUUUUGAGACAGGGUUUCAGUGUAUAGUCUUGGCUGGUCUGGAACGCAGCAUGUUAUAUAAAUCAAUCUGGCCUCAAAAGUUAUAGAGCUCCACAUGCCUCUGCCUCCCCAGAGCUGAGUUAAAGGUGUGUGCAACCACAUCUAAUAAGUCACUUUCUUUCAUAAAAUGCCACCCUUUUUAGGUCUGCAAGGUCAAAGUCACACUGUCCUUGUGCUUCAGCAAAUAGACCCAUCGCUGUAAUUCAUGCCAUUGCCUGCCUUUCUCUCGGAGCCCAGCCUUGAUCUCCAUUAAGGAGUGAAAUCUUGAACCACAGAAAAGAGAGUGGUCAUUUUUGGCAUGUCCGGUUUGGACUGGCACCAGUCACCAAACAAAGCGGGAUCACCCUUGCCUCCAUUUUCCGAAGAUCCUGAAGGAAUGUGAGUGCCAGCUUCCACUUUCCUCAGGCAAAGAAACCCUUGGAGGAAGCAGGAUGUUCUUGCUUGAGACUGACUGGCCUCAGGCUGUGGUGCCCAGUUACCUGCUGGUCCCUUCAGCUUCAGGCCUCAUACCUCCAGGGAACUGUGUUGGCCCAUCUGCCGUUCUGCCUACAAGAAGAUUUGAUUUGUUUUCCAGGUUGAAAUGAUGUGCCACCACCCCAGAUCAGCACUGCAACUAACCCCUAAUACUACCUUGGGAGAGGCAGCCCCAUCUUUCCUGAUUAGGCUUGUGUCUUCGGAGAUUAACACAUUGUGAGCGGGCAGGACUGUGGCAGCCCUCCCUUUCUGAGUCUGUUCUGGUUCUGUCUUGCCUCACAAUGCUCUAGAUGACCCAGUCGUUCACUGGACAAGAGUUUGGAACCCUUUGAGGAUCUCCAGGCUCAGGCUGAGUGGGGCUGGACUCCUGGCAUCCUCAGUCCAUGUCAGGACACACAGGACACUGGUGCAGCUUCAUUCUGCCACGCAGGAAGGUCAGCAUUUGAGGCCAGUCUGGCUAGCUAAGAAGAUGCUGUCUUAAAGUAAUCUAAACAGACAAACUAUGGCAAAUGUCUGUCUCCCAGAAUUCUGGAGGCGAAGGCAGGAAGAUUAGAAAUUCAAGCUCAUCCUUGGCUACACGGGACUGAAUCACCAAAGAGCAAGCACGGGCUGGACCUAGGCCCCCUGCAUAUAUAUAGCAGAUGAGCCACUUGAUCUUCAUGCAGGUCUCCCAAACAACUGGAGCUGGGGCUGUCCCUGAGUCUGUUGCCUGCUUGUGGAUGCUGCGCCCCUAAAUGGACAGUCUUGUCUGGCCUGGGUGGGAGAAGAUGUGCCUACUCCUCCUGCAGGGACUUGAUGUGCAGGGGGCGGGGGUGGGGGAGUGA